UGAUGGUAAAUACCGAGUGUCGACUGGAUUGAAGGAUGCAAAGUAUUGAUCCUGGGUGUGUCUGUGAGGGUGUUGCCAAAGGAGGUUAACAUUUGAGUCAGUGGGCUGGGGAAGGCAGAUCCAACCUCAAUCUGGUGCGCCAUCUAAUAAGCUGCCAAUGAAUAUAAAGCAGGCAGAAAAACAUAAGAAGGUGAGACUGGCCUAGCCUCCCAGCCUGCAUCUUUCUCCCAUGCUGAAUGCUUCCUGUCCUCGAACAUCAGACUCCAAGUUCUUUAGUUUUGAGACUCGGACUGGCUUCCUUGCUCCUCAAGCUUGCAGACAGCCUAUUGUGGGACCUUGUGAUCAUAGAUCCUUGAUUAAUACAGAUGGGGUCCCACUAUGCUGCCCAGGCUGCUUUCAAACAGGGUCUUAACUCUGUCACCCAGGCUGGAGUGCAGUGGUGUGACCACAGCCACUGCAGGCUCAACCUCUGGGACUCAGGUGAUCCUCCCAUCUCAGCCUCCCAAGUAGCUGGGACUACAGGUUGCUUCUUCCAGAUCCCUUUUGAUCUACUUUCAGCUAUGGAUUCAUGAGAAUCAAGACUAAGCAGCCUGAAUUGAAGGAGUAACAGUAUCACCUAACAAUGAUUUUGCUGCCAUAGUAGCUGUUUGUAUACUGGCCAUAUGCCUAGGUAAAAUGAGGCCAGAUCACUCUCAAGAGUUUUCUAUCAGAGUUGGUGGUGAACUACUGCUCACGGAUAAUG
rnacentral:lncRNA from 10 species